rnacentral:lncRNA from 12 species
UCUAUUCAUUCGUUUCCUCAUCAUUCUAUUCCUCCUUUUGUCUCUUUCUCGUUCUCUCGUUCUUUCUAUUCUUUCAUAUUCCAUUUUCUCGUUCCCUCCUUCUUUCUAUUCCUCCUUUUUAUGUUUUCUCGUUCCCUCAUUCUUUCUAUUCUUUUUAUUUUUCAAUUUUCUCAUCCCCUCGUUAUUUGUAUUCCUCCUUUUUAUGUUUUCUCGUUCCCUCGUUCUUUCUAUUCUUUCUUUUUCUAUUUUCUCGUUCCCUCGUUCUUUCUAUUCCUCCUUUUUCUAUUUCCUUGUUCCCUUUUUCUUUCUAUUCCUGCUUUUUAUGUUUCCUCAUUCCCUCAUUCUUUCUCUUCCCUUUUUUGUUUCUUUCUUGUUCCCUUAUUCUUUCUAUUCUUUAUUUCUCUUUUUUUCUCUUUGCCUUGUUCUUUCUAUUCUUUCAUUUUCUAUUUUCUUAUUCCCUCAUUCUUUCAAUUCACCUUUUUUUGUUUUCUUUUUUCUUUCUCUAUUCUAUUUCUCCUUUUCAUGUUUUCUUGUUCCCUCGUUCUUUCUAUUCCUCCUUUUUCUACUUUCUCGUUCCCUCGUUCUUUCUAUUCUUUCAUUUUCUAUUUUCUCAUUCCCUCGUUCUUUCAAUUCUUCCUUUUUCUAUUUUCUCGUUCCUUCGAUCUUUCUAUUCCUCGUUCUCUCGUUCUUUCUAUUCCACCUUUUUUUCGUAUUCUCAUUCCCUCGUUCUUUCUAUUCCUCCUUUUAUGUUUUCUCGUUCUCUCGUUCUUCCUAUUCUUUCAUUUUUUAUUUUCUCGUUCCCCCAUUGUUUGUAUUCCUCCUUUUUUUAUUUUCUCAUUCCCACGUUUUUCUGUUAUUUCAUUUUCCAUUUUCUCAAUGCCACGUUCUUUCUAUUCCUCCUUUUUCUAUUUCCUUGUUCCCUUGUUCUUUGUAUUGCUCCUUUUUAUGUUUCCUCGUUCCCUCAUCCUUUGUAUUCCCUGUUUUGUUUCUUUCUUGUUCCCUCAUUCUUUCUAUUCUUUAUUUUACUUUUUUCUCGUUACCUCGUUCUUUCUAGUAUUUCAUUUUCUCUUGUCUCGUUCCCUCAUUCUUUCUAAUCUUUCUUUUUUUGUUUUCUCGUUCCUUUCUUCUUUCAAUUUCUCCUUUUUGUGUUUUAUCGUUCCCUUUUUCUUUCUAUUCUUCCAUUUUCUAUUUUCUCAUUCCCUCGUUCUUUCUAUUCCUCCUUUUUUAAAAUUUUCUCGUUCCCUCGUUCUUUCUAUACCUCCUUUUUCUAGUUUCUCGUUCCCUCGAUCUUCCUAUUCUUUCAUUUACUAUUUUGCCGUUCCCUCGUUCUUUGUAUUCCAUCUUUUUAUGUUUUCUCGUUCCCUUGUUCUUUUAUUCCUCUUUUUUAUGUUUUCUCGUUUCCGUGUUCUUUCUAUUCCUCCUUUUUCUAUUUUAUCGUUCUCUCAUUCUUUCUAUUCCUCCUUUUCAUGUUUUCUCGUUCCCUCGUUCUUUCUAUUCCUCCUUUUUUUGUUUUCUUGUUCCUUUUUACUUUCUAUUCCUCCUUUCUAUGAUUUCUCGUUCCCACGUUCUUUCUAUUCUACCAUUUUCUGUUUUCUCGUUCCCUCAUUCUUUCUAUUCCUUUGUUAUCUAUUUUCUCGUUCCCUCAUUCUUUCUAUUCCUCCUUUUUCUAUUUUCUCCUUCCCUCAUUUUUUCUCUUCUUCCUUUUUAUGUUUUCUCCUUCCUUCGUUUUUUCUAGUCUUUCAGUUUCCAUUUUCUCGUUCCCUUGUUCUUUUUAUUCCACGUUUUUAUGUUUCCUUGUUCCCUUGUUCUUUCUAUUCCUCCUUUUUAUGUUUCCUCGUUCCCUCAUUCUUUCUCUUCCCUUUUUUGUUUCUUUCUUGUUCUUUCAUUCUUUCUAUCCUUUUUUCUCUUUUUUUCUCAUUGCCUUGUUCUUUCUCUUCUUUCAUUUUCUAUUUUCUCAUUCCCUCACUCUUUCCAUUCCUCUUUUUUUUGUUUUCUUGUUUCUUUGUCUAUUCUAUUUCUCCUUUUCAUGUUUUCCCGUUCCCUCUUUCAUUUUCUAUUCUUCCUUUUUCUACUUUCUCAUUCCCUCAUUCUUUCUAUUCUUUCAUUUUCUAUUUUCUCAUUCCCUCAUUCUUUCAAUUCUUCCUUUUUCUAUUUUCUCUUUCCUUCGAUCUUUAUAUUCUUUCACUUUCUUUUUUGUCGCUCCCUCGUUCUUUCUAUUUCUCCUUUUUCUACUUUCUCGUUCCCUCGUUCUUUCUUUUCUAUCGUUUUCUAUUUUCUCAUUCCCUCAUUCCUUCAAGUCCUCCUUUUUCUAUUUUCUCAUUUCCUCGUUCUUUCUAUGCCUCUUUUUUUGUUUUCUAGUUCCCUCCUUCUUCCUAUUCGUCUUUUCUAUGUUUUCUCGUUCCCUCAUUCUUUGUAUUCUUUUUUUUUCUAUUUUCUCUUUCCCUCGUUCUUUCUACUCUUUUUAUUUUGUAUUUUCUCGUUCCCUCGUUCUUUCUAUUCUUUCAUUUGUGACUUUCUCCCUCCCUUGUUCUUUCCAUUCCUACUUUUUUUAUUUUCUAGUUCCCUUAUUCUUCUCUGCAUCUCAGUUAUGUACGUUAGUAGGCUGCAUAUUGAGUAGGUAUAUUGUAACAAAGCUAGGUGACGAUGGUCAUCUUUCUUAGCACUCAACACUGAAAACCGGUAUGCAGCGUAGAGCACUCUGGUGCUCUGCUGCUUCCUGGUUCUCACUUCGUAUCAUGCGGCGGUUUCUCUCUGCAAAGGAGAAGUGUUGUCUUAUCCUCACACAGUAGACUGUACUCCUAGCUUUUGCUACUGACAAAAAUCGCCUGGCACGUGGACUUUUGUUCUAAACCCUCUGUACCAUAUUGCCCUGCUUCUUGUAUGUGUACCCUGCACUCCUUCAACUCUGCAUAGCGAAGAGCAUUGUAAUGAAACCUAAGGUUAAAGUGAAAUCGUGCACUGCACAGAGUAGUUCUCACUUGCCACUGCACAUACCAAUGUCUU